AGCUCCAAUAGCGUAUAUUAAAGUUGUUGCAGUUAAAAAGCUCGUAGUUGGAUUUCUGUUGGAGACAACCGGUCCGCCUUCGGGUGUGCAUCAGGCUUGGCUUCAACAUCCUUCUGGGGAACGUUCCUGCACUUAACUGUUGUGGGGCGGAAUCCAGAACUUUUACUUUGAGUAAAUUAGAGUGUUUCAAGCAGGCUUUCGCCUUGAAUACUACAGCAUGGAAUAAUAAGAUAGGACUUUGGUCUUAUUUUGUUGGUUUCUAGGACUAAAGUAAUGAUUAAUAGGGAUAGUUGGGGGCAUUCGUAUUUUACUGUCAGAGGUGAAAUUCUUAGAUUUGUAAAAGACGAACUACUGCGAAAGCAUUUGCCAAGGAUGUUUUCA
rnacentral:rRNA from 1 species